CAGCAGCCGCGGGAAUACAGAGGGUGCGAGCGUUAAUCGGAUUUACUGGGCGUAAAGCGUGCGUAGGCGGCUUCUUAAGUCGGAUGUGAAAUCCCUGAGCUUAACUUAGGAAUUGCAUUCGAUACUGGGAAGCUAGAGUAUGGGAGAGGAUGGUAGAAUUCCAGGUGUAGCGGUGAAAUGCGUAGAGAUCUGGAGGAAUACCGAUGGCGAAGGCAGCCAUCUGGCCUAAUACUGACGCUGAGGUACGAAAGCAUGGGGAGCAAACAGGAUUAGAUACCCCAGUAGUCCCUGUUUCUUAUAC
rnacentral:rRNA from 1 species